AAGAUCCAACUGUGGGGGAAAUUGAUUGAUGCCAGCAAAAAACGAAGAGGAUGAGGGGUGACUGAGACCGCUAGCUAACGUUGGAUAACUGAUGUUACUAUAUUGCUAGUUAGCUCAGCGUCGAAUAAGUGACAAGUAGCUAUUUUGUUGAAUACUUUUGGUAUUUCCUCGCAUCGUUGGGUAACUUCUAUGAGGAAUCACUUAAAAAAAAAAAUAAAUGCCAGUACCUAGCUAGCUAAAACUCACCUUUAGGGUAGAUCGGGUAACUAUUGUGGCUGUCGCGUCCAUCAGCUCUUGUUGGAUGUAGAGUUGUGUAUGUGUAGAUUGCUAUUAGUUACACCCGUCACCACAUAAUAAACGGGAAUAGAAUCAGUGUGUUGAAAAUUCCAAAUGGUUUGCAUAGUCAAUUUACACACAGCACUGACACACACACUUACCUCAUCAGACAUGCCACCAGGGGUCUUUUCACAGUCCCCAGGUCCAGAACAAAUUCAAGGGAAAGUACAGUAUUAUACAGAGCCAUGAGUGCAUGGAACUCCCAUCUUAUGUAGCACAAAUGAACAGCAAACCUGGUUACAAAAAACGAAUAAAGCAACACCCCAAAGAAUGAUGCCUCUCCCUCAUGUGAACUGCUUGUGUGAAAAUGUGUGUUGGUCUGGAGCUGGGACACAACAAAGAAGGAUUUGAAGGAUUACUUCAAGUUUGGGGAGGUGGCACCCUGAAGCUUGACCCCAUGACAGGUCGGUCUCGGGGGUUUGACUUUGUCCUGUUCAAAGCAGCUGACAGUGUUGAUAAGGUAUUUCUGAUUGUAUAUGUUGUGAAUAUGACAUGGCAGCAAUGGGAUGUGAGUCUUUUCUGCCCAAUCAGUUUCUUUAUUAUCAUUUUUACACAAGCUGAAUGGGAAGGUGAUCGACCCUAAGAAGGUCAAGGCCAUGAAGAACAAGGAGCCAAACAGGAAAGUCUUUGUGGAGGUCUUUCUCCAGACACCCCCGAGGAGAAGAUCAGGGAAUAAUUUGGUACCUUUGGAGAGGUAGGCUACAGUAGACUUACAUUUGACAUGGUCAGAUGUUCUUUAGAGAGUGUGCUCGCCUGGGUGCCAAUCUGAACGAUUGAAUCAGAUCAGUCCAAAGCAAUUACCUGAAAGAGCUGAUAUUUACUCUUUGUUUUCUCGUGGCCUGUAUGUGCAAGUUGACCAAAACAUUCAAACCUUGUUGUACAAUGGAUUAUUCUAUUCCUGAGUUGUCUGUGUGAACAGUUGGAGUCCAUUGACCUCCCCAUAGAAACCAAAAGCAACAAGAGACGGGGCUUCUGCUUCAUCACCUUUCAAAGAGGAGGAGCGAGUGAAGAAGAUCGUGGAGAGAAAGUACAACAGUAUAGGAUUUAGGAAGGUACUGUACAGUACAUCAUGGCUUCCCUUGGAGGUGUACCUGUGGAUGUAUUUCAAGGCCUACUUUCAAACUCAGUGCCUCUUUGCUUGACAUGGGGAAGAAAAACUAAUUCCGCCAAGACCUCAUACAAAAAAAUUGUAGACCCCCACAAGUCUGGUUCAUCCAUGGGAGCAAUUUGUAAACACCUGAAGGUACCACUUUCAUCUGUACAAACAGUAGUACGCAAGUAUAAACACCAUGGGACCACGCAGCCAUCAUACCACUCAGGAAGGAGACGCGUUCCGUCUCCUAGAGAUUAAUGUACUUUGGUGCGAAAAGUGCAAAUCAAUCCCAGAACAACAGCAAAGGACCUUGUGAAGAUGCUUGGGGAAACAGGUACAAAAGUAUCUAUAUCCACAGUAAAACGAGUCCUAUAUCGACAUAACCUGAAAUAACCUGCUCAGCAAGGAAGAAGCCACUGCUCCAAAACCGCCAUAAAAAAAGCCAGACUACGGUUUGCAACUACACAUGGGGACAAAGAUCCAACUUUUUGGAGAAAUGUCCUCUGGUCUGAUGAAACAAAAAUAGAACUGUUUGGCCAUAAUGACCAUCGUUAUGUUUGGAGGAAAAAGGGGGAGGCUUGCAGCAUCAUGUUGUGGGGUACUUUCCUGCAGGAGGGACUGGUGCACUUCACAAAAUAGAUGGCAUCAUGAGGAUGGAACUUAUGUGGAUAUAUUGAAGCAACAUCUCAAGACAUCAGUCAGGAAGUUAAAGCUUGGUCGCAAAUGGGUCUUCCAAAUGGACAAUGACUCCAAGCAUACUUCCAAAGUUGUGGCAAAAUGGCUUAAGGACAACAAAGUCAAGGUAUUGGAGUGGCCAUCACAAAGCCCUGACCUCAAUCCUAUAGAGAAUUUGUGGGCAGAACUGAAAAAGCUUGUGUGAGCAAGGAGGCCAACAAACCUGACUCAGUUACACCAGCUCUGUCAGGAGGAAUGGGCCAAAAUUCACCCAACAUAUUGUGGGAAGCUUGUGGAAGGCCACUCAAAACAUUUGACCCAAGUUAAACAAUUUAAAGGUAAUGCUACCAAAUACUAAUUGAGUGUAUGUAAACUUCUGACCCACUUCUGACCCACUGGGAUUGUGAUGAAAGAAAAGCUGAAAUAAAUCCUUCUCUCUACUAUUAUUCUAACAUUUCAAAUUCUUAAAAUAAAGUGGUGAUCCUAACUGACCUAAGACAGGGAAUUUUUACUAGGAUUAAAUGUCAGGAAUUGUAAAAAAAUAAAUAAAAAAAAACAGAGUUUAAAUGUAUUUGGCUAAGGUGUAUGUAAACUUCUGACUUCAACUGUAUGUAAAUGUCAUAUUUCAGUUUUGUAUUUUUUAUUAAUUUGUAAACAUUUCUAAAAAAACAGUUAUUACUUUAUCAUUUUGUGGUAUUGUGUGUAGAUUGAUGAGGGGAAAAAACAAUUUAAUACAUUUUAAGAAUAACGCUGUAACGUAACAAAAUGUUACGAAUACACUGUAUGUAUACAAGAUUCUAGAAUAUUCCAAAAUGCACCAGAAAAAAAUAAAAUACAUUUAUCUGGAAUUGAA